AACAACAUUUAGCUAAUGGUUCUUAUUGCAUUCUUGACUUCAUGUUUUCAGAAAUUUCAGCUGAUAUUUUUGUGUGACCUGGGUGCUUGUGACAAUAGAGAUCAAAUGGGUCAAUCCAAUAAUGUAAGCUAUGUCUUCCAAAGCUUAAUAGUUUUUUCUUUCAUUUAAUGUUUAUAAUUUUAUUUCAGGUUAACUUCCCUUGUAAAAUCAUAGUAAAUCUUCAAGAUAUUGAUGCCUUCCUCAGAUCCAAUUCUUUGCUGCUAUCUCUUUUGCAGACAACAGUAAAAUAGCUUCAACUCAAGAGGUUGUUGUGACUGCCACUGUUCCAAUUUAGGACAAUGCGACAUUGAUAGAUUUGAGGUUAAUCGCUCACCACCGUUAGAGUUGUUUGCAAACCGAAGAGAGAUUGCUGGGAAUUAAGACUGAUAAUUUGUAUAGAUGAAGAAUGAUGAGACAGAAAUGUCUCAAAUGCUGCGACAAUCAGAAGGUUCACGAGUCUAAGCCGGAAAUCAACUGUGAUAAACGCUCUCGUAAUAACUGUUCCACAACCUUUCGCUCUUUUUCCGGUUUUUCUUAUUAACCAUGGCCGGGUUAUCUCCCUGGUCCAGUAAAUUAAGGAAGUGUCUUACCCUGACUUGAUUGUCUACAGUUUGAACUGAACUGGGCGGUUUGUUUAUUAAAUUUUAUUGUAAUAGUUUUAUAGUUUUUUAUUUAUUUUAUGUGUAAAAUAUUUAAUGUUUUUUCGUAAAAAAUAUAAUUUUA
rnacentral:lncRNA from 1 species